rnacentral:rRNA from 1 species
CCUACGGGGGGCAGCAGUGGGGAAUAUUGGACAAUGGGGGGAACCCUGAUCCAGCCAUGCCGCGUGUGUGAAGAAGGCCCUCGGGUUGUAAAGCACUUUCAGUGAGGAAGAACGCCUGGUGGUUAAUACCCAUCAGGAAAGACAUCACUCACAGAAGAAGCACCGGCUAACUCCGUGCCAGCAGCCGCGGUAAUACGGAGGGUGCGAGCGUUAAUCGGAAUUACUGGGCGUAAAGCGCGCGUAGGUGGCUUGAUAAGCCGGUUGUGAAAGCCCCGGGCUCAACCUGGGAACGGCAUCCGGAACUGUCAAGCUAGAGUGUAGGAGAGGAAGGUAGAAUUCCCGGUGUAGCGGUGAAAUGCGUAGAGAUCGGGAGGAAUACCAGUGGCGAAGGCGGCCUUCUGGACUGACACUGACACUGAGGUGCGAAAGCGUGGGUAGCAAACAGGAUUAGAUACCCCGGUAGUC